CCUGAGACUAGAGUCACAUCCUGACACAGUUCUUGUCCUGAUAUGCUGGAGUUUUCAGGGCAAUCUGCUGGUCCUUUUUUUGUUUUAAGAUUUCAUUUAUGUAUUUGAGAGAAAGACAGAGCAUGA
rnacentral:snoRNA from 1 species